AUACGGAGGGUGCGAGCGUUAAUCAGAAUUACUGGGCGUAAAGCGUACGUAGGCGGUUGGUUAAGUUAGAUGUGAAAGCCCCGGGCUUAACCUGGGAACUGCAUUUAAAACUGGCGAACUAGAGUUGAGUAGAGGGGAGUGGAAUUUCAGGUGUAGCGGUGAAAUGCGUAGAGAUCUGAAGGAACACCAGUGGCGAAGGCGACUCCCUGGACUCGAACUGACGCUGAGGUACGAAAGCGUGGGUAGCAAACGGGAUUAGAAACCCUAGUAGUCC
rnacentral:rRNA from 1 species